AUUGAACGCUGGCGGCAGGCCUAACACAUGCAAGUCGAGCGGAUGAGGGAAGCUUGCUUCCUGAUUUAGCGGCGGACGGGUGAGUAAUGCCUAGGAAUCUGCCUAUUAGUGGGGGAUAACGUUCCGAAAGGAACGCUAAUACCGCAUACGUCCUACGGGAGAAAGUGGGGGAUCUUCGGACCUCACGCUAAUAGAUUAGCCUGGGUCGGAUUAGCUAGUUGGUGAGGUAACGGCUCACCCAGGCGACGAUCCGUAGCUGGUCUGAGAGGAUGAUCAGCCACACUGGAACUGAGACACGGUCCAGACUCCUACGGGAGGCAGCAGUGGGGAAUAUUGGACAAUGGGCGAAAGCCUGAUCCAGCCAUGCCGCGUGUGUGAAGAAGGUCUUCGGAUUGUAAAGCACUUUAAGUUGGGAGGAAGGGCUGUAAGCUAAUAUCUUGCAGCUUUGACGUUACCAACAGAAUAAGCACCGGCUAACUCUGUGCCAGCCGCCGCGGUAAAAC
rnacentral:rRNA from 1 species